CGGUCACGUUCGUUGCAUUCAUUUAAAUAUAAUAUUAUCAUAUAUUAUAAAAGGUUCACAAUCCUUAAAAAGGCAGAACACUUAAAAUAAUAUAAUGAAUAAUAUUAUUUAAUAUUAUAUGAAACGCAAUUAAGCAGACAGAUCACUCCACGAACUAAGAACGGCCAUGCACCACCUAUCAUAUAAUCAUGAAAGGACUAUCAUAUUUGUACUAAUAUAAUAUAAAAUUAUAUUAGUGAUCACCUGUCAAUCCUCAAUAUGUCUGGACCUGGUAAGAUUUCCCGCGUUGGGUCAAAUUAAGCCACAUGCUCCACGCGUUCUUGUGGUGCCCUU
rnacentral:rRNA from 1 species